GUGCUCGCUUCGGCAGCACAUAUACUAAAAUUGCACCAAUACAUACAAGAUUAGCAUGGCCCCUGCGCACGGAUGACACGCAAAUUAUGAAGCGUUCUAUAUUAAA
ensembl:snRNA U6 U6 spliceosomal RNA